UAAAAAUAAUAAUAGUAAUAAUAACGAUUUAAAAAGAGAAAUCCAUUCCAAGCCCACCAGAUGAAAUUAAAAAUUUUUGGCAAGCCUGAAAGGCCCUCUUUUGUGCCUGCUAUUUCAGUCAUAUUUCUUGAUGCUUGCCCAUGAUCUCUCAGCCAUACUGGACUUUUUUCAUGCUCUUUGCUCUGUCAUCUUAUCUCAGAUACACCAUCCCUAUUCCACCUAUCACCACUUAACCAGGCUAAAUUCUUCUAUUCUUUCAGAUUGUGGGCUAAAUGAGCCUUGUUUAAGAUCUUCUUCACUGACCCUCCAAUGAUGUUGUAUUUUUUUCUCAAGCACCCUUUACCUGCCACCCUGUGCUAACAUGACUGCCCCUGUAAUUAUGUCUUUAUCUGUAUGCUCCCUUCCAGAGUUCAAGCUCUAUGGAGACAGGGCCUUUGGCUAUCUUGUUUAUUGCUGAAUCUUCAGCACCUGCUAUGCCUUGCAGUGGGCACUUAACCAGUAUUUGUUGAAUAAAUAAAUCAACCCUUAGAGAUGCUCUGUUAGGAUGAUGGGUUUCAAUAAAACCACAGCUUGAACACCAGUGUUCAUUUCAGUGGAAGAUGAAAAAGAAGGGGAAAUUUUUUUUUUAAUUGGUUAUUUUACAUGUAAAAAAUGUCUUGGACUACAUACUGAAAAGAUUUGGGGAGAAUACAAAUAAUAAGCAAAUAAUCUGACAAAAUAAUUGCAGCUUUAUUAUUUUUUAUACAGUUGGAUAACUACAGUAAAUGCUCAGGACGUAUUUUAAAAGAUUAAAGAAAUUCAACUGCUAUUUUGCUAGAGAAGUUUCAUUCAAUCCUUGGAUAAAAAUCAGCUUAAGAGCAUGACAAACAAGCAAGGAUAUAAACAUAAAAAAUGCACUUUGGGAUUUUUCCCACCUUUUAAUCCAUGUGUUAGAAUUUAAACUAUUUAUGUGUAGUUACCAUGUAGCAGAAAACACUAUUAAAGUAUUAAAAUGUCAUUUGUAGAUAAGAGGGAGGUAAGGACAUAUUUUAAGAUUGGAUUCUCUUUUUAAUUUUAUCAUGCUUUAAGUGAAAGUUUACAGCGCAAAUUAGCUUCUCAUCCAAAAAUUUAUACACGCAUUAUUUUGUGACGCUGGCUGCAAUCCCUGCAAUGUGUCAGCACUCUUCCCCUUUACACCCCGGGUUCCCUGUGUCCAUUCGUCCAGUUUUCCUGUCCCUUCCUGCCUUACCGUCUACUUUUGGGCAGGUGUUGCCCAUUAGGCCUCGUAUACUUGAUUGAACUAAGAAGCAAGAUCCUCACAUGUUACUGUUUGUUUUAUAGGCCUGUCUAAUCUUUGGCUGAAAGGUGGACUUCAGGAGUGGCUACAGCUCUCAGUUAGCAGGGCAUCCGGGGACCAUAAUCUCGGAGGUUCCUCCAAUCUCUGCUAGACCACAGAGGCACCCACCAUUCUUCUCUAAAAGAUGCACUGAUUUUCCAGUGGACUGGAGCGGAUGAUCAAACCAGAAUUCACAAACCAGGGUUUAGGCAGUCUUACCUUCAGUGUGACAUCACAGAGUUCUCCAUUUUCAUAAAAUCGAAGCAGAGAACCAUGAAAAUCCUUCCAAGCUUCAUUUGCUUCAAAGAUAAAGGAGUCAUCUCCAUCACCAUCACUAACUGAAGAUCUGUUCUUUAUUUGCUGGUACUGCUGCCGCUUCCCCUUUGUGAAGGGACUUCUAGCUUGUUUUGCACUCCCAGGUUCUGAAGCCAUUUGAGAGGCUCUCCUUUUAAUACAGCUCUCCUCUCAAACAUUCCAUUUAUUCUUUUUUAAAAGGGGGGAGAAGGCAGAAGGUAGAUGCAGCCCAUUAAACUUCAGACACAUUUCAAAAUCCAUUCAACUGGCAUUUCCAGUUUGUUGAGACUGAAAAGCAACAAUAAAACAUAUAUAAAAACAAAUAAAAGAAAUAAAAAAACUAUCACUAGUAAUUAUAAUUUACUAGUACUAUUCAACGGCACUGGGUUUUUUAUAUGUGCAAAAUAACCUAAUAAUCAUUUCUAAAAUAAAAGGAAAAAAAAAGCCCCAAAUACCUUUCUAGCUUUUAUGCUAAAUGUCACACAAUUCACCUCAGCUAAUUAUUUCGUGUCAGUGAAUUCACCAAGAAUAUAUAACAAUCCUGUAUGUAUACGUACCUAAUAACUGAGUAUCAAGAGACUUUAAUACAGCAAAAACUGACAGAACUAAAAGGGGAAAUAGACAAAUCCACAAUUAUAGGUAAGAAUCUUCAACAUUCCUCUCUCAGUAACAGGCAGAUCUAGUUGACAGAGAAUAAACAGAGCCACAGAACAGAAUAACUUCAACUAACUGGAUCUAACUGACUCCAGGGCUUCAAACCAGAACCAAACCGAAA